UACGUAGGGACCAAGCGUUGUUCGGAUUUACUGGGCGUAAAGGGCGCGUAGGCGGCAAUUCAAGUCAUCUGUGAAAUCUCCGGGCUUAACUCGGAACGGUCAGAUGAUACUGCUUUGCUAGAGUGCGGAAGGGGCAAUCGGAAUUCUCGGUGUAGCGGUGAAAUGCGUAGAUAUCGAGAGGAACACCUGCGGCGAAGGCGGGUUGCUGGGCCGACACUGACGCUGAUGCGCGAAAGCCAGGGGAGCGAACGGG
rnacentral:rRNA from 1 species